UACGUAUAGCUCCUAGAGAGAUGGCAGAAGUCGCUCGCGCACCCGCGUUGGCCAACGCGCCCAAGAGAACGCGGCUUCAAGGAGAAGCGCUGCGUGUCUCUCGCCGCUCUGAAGAAAGAUUUGGCUAUCGGCGGAUACGAUGUGGAGAACAACUUCCGCGUCAAGCUCGACGUCACUGGCACUCUGGUGCAGACCAAAGUUUCUUACAAGACCAAACAGCUCUUACAAGUUGAACAAGAAGCAGACCGAAGCCAAGAAGCCCGCAAGGAAAGCCGCGUACAAAGCGAAAAAAUCCGCGGCUAAGAAGCCCAAGAAGGUAGCAGCCAAGAAACCGGCGCGGCCAGUGCGUUACAAGAGCGAUGGUGGCCAGAGUGAGCGGCUAUGUGAGAGUUUGACUUGCUGGCACGGUGUGUGUAACACGGUGUGUGUGUGUGUGUGUGUGUGUGUGUGUGUGUGUGUGUGUGUGUGUGUGUGUGUGUGUGUGUGUGUUACACCGGUCGAAGCGCUGUGUGGAGUCGGAGGCGGUCCUUUGUGGGUGAUGAACUGUCGGACCUGGAAAGUGACAACGACGCUGGAAGCAAAAUACUUCGACACUGCCGAAGAAAGCACCCGUCGGGAUUCUACUAGCGAGGUGCCUUGAUUUACUUCAAUCAUUUAGAGGAUACUAUUACAGCUUCGGUGAAUCUUCCACCAGAAUUUCCUCUCCAAAACAAUAGGUAAAUGGACCACCAGUUUAGUGACGUUGUAGUUACUACUGAAAUACUAAUUUAAGUUGGCAUUUAUGUUUUUAUGUUUGCACAAACUGGGUUAAAAGCUCAGAAAGUUUAAUUUAAAAACUCUGCACCUUUCUCUCUAUCUCUUUACCCACAGAGUGCUACAGUGGUAAGAAAGUCUGAGAUUGAGGAACAAGACACAACAAUGGAGCAUUCCCACCUCACUGAGAUGGAGAGUCAGGAGGCCCUGAUACAAGCACUGGC
ensembl:lncRNA